CAUUUGUAAUUUGAGCUGCAAACGACUGGUCCUCAUGUCAUUCUAGCCAACCUCACGCGUCAGCUGCACCCUCAAAUGCUACAUUAACCAACCCACUGCGGAGCGCUUGCGGGAGACACAGACAAUGUUUUACUAACUGUUUAAACUUGUCGCCUGAGAACCUGGGCAACGAGACAGGAGCAGCAGCAGUGUAGAUGUACCCGAAGUCUGCCGCAGGUCACAGAGCUCAACUCUGCACAAGUCUCCCUGGAGUCUGCUCGUCUUCUCCCUUCCCUGGCUACAGGAAACUACUUGGGGUAUUUUUUCCUCUCAGACUUUUGCAUGCAUUAUUGUCUGAAGAUCAGUAUCACUAGCACUGGAUGACAAUCUCAGAAGACAAUGCUACUAUAUAUGACUGCUAUGCUCAAAUGAGGAACUUUUCUCUGGAAAAAGUUGCAUGGAAUACUGAAUAUAGGGUGACCAGACAGCAAAUGUGAAAAAUUGGGACAGGGGGCGGAGGGUAAUAGGAUCCUAUAUAAGAAAAAGACCCCAAAAUCGUGACUGUCCCUAUAAAAACGGGGCAUCUGGUCACCCUAACUGAAUAGCAGACAUUCAAGUCCCUAGAGAAUCACUGAUGGCUUCUGUAGCUGCAAAGUACACUCUGCAGCAUAGUGUCAUAGUAGUAAAAUGUUAAACAAUACUGCUUCCACCAAAUGGCCUUGUACAGUUCAGAUUUAGACAAGGAUUAGAACUAUUUGUACUUGAGAAAUGCCUCCCAGAGAAGUCAAACAAGAAUCUGGUGCUGAUUACUCAAAGCAAAUUUGACUACUCAGUUAACAGUCUCUGCAAUAAGCAGCAGGUGGUUUAAGACUAGUUUUCAACCUGAGGUAAGCAUACCCCUGGGGGUAUGCACAGGUCUUCCAUGGGGUACAUCAUCGUAACUAGAUAUUUACCUAGUUUUAGAACAGGCUACAUAAAAAGCACUAGUGAAGUCAGUACAAACUAAAAUUUCAUACAACGACUUGUUUAUUCUGCUUUAUAUACACUGAAAUUCAAGUACAAUGUUUAUAUUCCGAUUGAUUUAUUUUAUAAUUAUGUGGUCAAAAUGAGAAAGCAAGCAAUUUUUCAGCAACAUGUAUUUUUAUGUCUGAUUUUGUAAGCAAGUAGUUUUUAAGUGAGAUGAAAUUUGGGGUACACAAGAUAAAUCAGACUCCUAAAGGGGUCCAGUAGUCUGGAAAGGUUGAGAGCCACUAGUUUAAGAUAUUUUCUUACUACACUUUUAAAGAUUUAAGUGUAAAACUAUAUCAAAAUGUUGUAAUAUGUACUGGUUUAUUAAAGGAAUUUUCAGAUGCAAA